rnacentral:misc_RNA from 1 species
UCCGGUUUGUCACCGGCAGUCCCAUUAGAGUGCCCAACUUAAUGUGGCAACUAAUGGCAAGGGUUGCGCUCGUUGCGGGACUUAACCCAACAUCUCACGACACGAGCUGACGACAGCCAUGCAGCACCUGUGUGAAGGUUCCCUUUCGGGCACUCCCAAAUCUCUUCGGGAUUCCUUCCAUGUCAAGGGUAGGUAAGGUUUUUCGCGUUGCAUCGAAUUAAGCCACAUGCUCCGCCGCUUGUGCGGGCCCCCGUCAAUUCCUUUGAGUUUCAGCCUUGCGGCCGUACUCCCCAGGCGGGGUGCUUAAUGCGUUAGCUUCGGCACAGAGAGGGUUGAAGACCUCCCCACACCUAGCACCCAACGUUUACGGCUGGGACUAC